GACGAACGCUGGCGGCGUGCCUAAUACAUGCAAGUAGAACGCUGAAGAGAGGAGCUUGCUCUUCUUGGAUGAGUUGCGAACGGGUGAGUAACGCGUAGGUAACCUGCCUUGUAGCGGGGGAUAACUAUUGGAAACGAUAGCUAAUACCGCAUAACAAUGGAUGACACAUGUCAUUUAUUUGAAAGGGGCGAUUGCUCCACUACAAGAUGGACCUGCGUUGUAUUAGCUAGUAGGUGAGGUAAUGGCUCACCUAGGCGACGAUACAUAGCCGACCUGAGAGGGUGAUCGGCCACACUGGGACUGAGACACGGCCCAGACUCCUACGGGAGGCAGCAGUAGGGAAUCUUCGGCAAUGGGGGCAACCCUGACCGAGCAACGCCGCGUGAGUGAAGAAGGUUUUCGGAUCGUAAAGCUCUGUUGUAAGUCAAGAACGGGUGUGAGAGUGGAAAGUUCACACUGUGACGGUAGCUUACCAGAAAGGGACGGCUAACUACGUG
rnacentral:rRNA from 1 species